AACGGCCGCGGGAUCCUACACCGUGCAAAGGUAGCAUAAUCACUUGUCAUCUAAAUAAUGACUAGUAUGAACGGCCCUAUGAGGACUUCCCUGUCUCUUGUAAUCAAUCAAUGAAACUGAUCUCCCAGUACAAAAGCUGGGAUAAAACCACAAGACGAAAAGACCCUGUGGAACUUAUAAGUGCUAAUCAAUAACAUGAUACAAACACUUUUAGUUGGGGCAACUUUGGAACAAAACAAAACUUCCAAUAUAGGGUAUACUUAACCCAAAACUAAGUCCACACACUAACUUUUGACCCACCAAUUGACCCAGUAUUACUGAUAAAAGAAACAAGCUACCCCAGGGAUAACAGCGCCAUCCCCUCCUAGAGCCCAAAUCGACGAGCGGGGCUUACGACCUCGAUGUUGGAUCAGGGCCCCCAAACAGUGCAGCAGCUGUUAAAGGUUUGUUUGUUCAACAACUGAU
rnacentral:rRNA from 1 species